ensembl:snoRNA SNORD36 Small nucleolar RNA SNORD36
GUGCAAUGAUGUUUUGAAUUUCUUCACCUGAAUCUUCUAUGUGGAUCAAAAAUACGAGCUUUUUAACCCUGAGCAAC